GCGGGAAAAGCUCAAAUUUAAAAUCUGGUGGUCUUUGGCCAUCCGAGUUGUAAUUUAGAGAAGCGUCUUCCGCGCUGGACCGUGCACAAGUCUCCUGGAAUGGAGCGUCAUAGAGGGUGAGAAUCCCGUCUUUGGCACGGAUCCCGGGGCUUUUGUGAUGCGCUCUCGAAGAGUCGAGUUGUUUGGGAAUGCAGCUCAAAAUGGGUGGUGAACUCCAUCUAAAGCUAAAUAUUGGCGAGAGACCGAUAGCGAACAAGUACCGUGAGGGAAAGAUGAAAAGCACUUUGGAAAGAGAGUGAAACAGUACGUGAAAUUGUUGAAAGGGAAACGCUUGAAGUCAGUCGCGUCGUCCGAGACUCAGCCUCGCCUCGGCUUGGUGUACUUCUCGACCGACGGGUCAGCAUCAAUUUCGCCCCUUGGAUAAUGGCGAGGGAAAUGUGGCACCUUUGCGGGUGCGUUAUAGUCCCUCGUCGCAUGCAAGGGUCGGGAUUGAGGAACUCAGCACGCGCCUUUCGGCGUCGGGGUUUUUGCCCACGAUACGUGCUUAGGAUGUUGGCGUAAUGGCUUUAAACGACCCGUCUUGAAACACGGACCAAGGAGUCUAACAUGCCCGCGAGUGUUCGGGUGGAAAACCCGUGCGCGCAAUGAAAGUGAAAGUUGGGACCUCUGUCGUGGAGGGCACCGACGCCCGGACCAGACCUUCUGUGACGGAUCUGCGGUGGAGCGUGUAUGUUAGGACCCGAAAGAUGGUGAACUAUGCCUGAAUAGGGUGAAGCCAGAGGAAACUCUGGUGGAGGCUCGUAGCGAUUCUGACGUGCAAAUCGAUCGUCAAA
rnacentral:rRNA from 1 species